CCAGCUUUAUCAAUCUUCAGGAGCCCAACGCCUAACAAGGCCAUGCGCCCGUCUAAAUUUUUGUAAACCGCAAGGCAAGCAAUGCAACCCCCAACACACACAAAUAAACCCACAAAUAAAAAUGCAACUCAUUACUUUGCCGAAACAAUGCAAUCAAGCUACAGGGAUGGAAACCACAUGGCCUAGUUCAUCAAAACAACGCCGCUCAUAUAACAAUAAGAUUAGGCAUUCACUAUAGUCAAAAGAAAUGAUCCAACAAGAAUGCAUCUGCUGCACGAACAAGAAAUUAUGGUCUCGCUCGCCCGUCCGUGCAGAGAUAGCAGCAGGGCAACCUGGUAUGAUCCCAAACACAUCAAAUUCAAAUCAGCUCCACCUCACCAACAGUAUUUCCUAUCUUCAUAAGUACAUGACCUCAAAGUGCCGCCGUUGAAACAAGUCCCUGCACCGCAACUUCCAGACGUCCACAAUCACUGUUCAUAGGAGACCAUGUGAGCAAACAUUAGUCCUACUUCUUUUGGUCAAAAGUAUUAGUAACAUUUUUCCUAAAUAAAUGAGGCAGCAACUUUGCUAGAAUAAAAAGACACUUGCAACCUUAUAAAUCCCUGAAGUCCAACUCUAUUAAGUUCCACUCAAUAAAAAUGAAUAGAAGUAGAUAUUUUGAACGAGAGACAGAUCUACAUUCCCUCAUAACAGCAAACAGCAAACAGCAUUAAAGGACAUUCGUACUGAAGUCCAACUCUAUUAAAGGACAUCCUGACAAGAUUUCAUUUGCUCGCUAGCCACUUUCAUGGUCCAGUCUUAUUAUCUUUGAUCACUAAAAUUUGUAGAAAGCAUGAUUAAAAAAAUUAUGAUAUGAAGGAUAUAGAUGCACUACUGGUCAGGCUUCAUGGUAAGUAAACUGUAAUCACUAGCAGAAUUUGUUGUAAGCUGGGAAAUUGAACAUUGUAACUUGAGUACCUCACAAAAUAAAUAGCCACACUUGGAAAAGGGCAUGUUUGAGUAAUUGUCUAUUUAACAGAAUUUUCUCCUUCAGACUAGCAUCAUUGUUCAACGUAGAUUACCAUCUUAUCAUCAACCAAGAUUAUUCAGAGAUUCAGAGAUUACACUACGUGGGAAGAUGAUCACACUACAUAGUUUAUAAUUGUUCAACAACGGAAGGACCAUCCUCCCCAACAUCUACAUGGGAAGAAUCAGAGAUUACACUACAGGCCUGAAUCCAAUAAAUUUUUGGUGUUGUCAUAUUCCUGCACGAUGCGCUUCAUUUGGACAAGAGCUGACAGUAAUCAUCGUGAUCAGAAAAUUUCAAAGACCCUAGAUCUCAAUGGUGGCUUACCUUCAAUUUUUGUGCCCACUAGAACAGAAAUAAUUGAAUGUUUAGUCGCCGGCUAGCCACCUGCAGGGAGGGAGGUAAGGAAGAGAUGAGGCAGGGGGCGAGGUAGCUUGCUCCAUUGGUCGACCACUACGACCAAGCCCAGCCAGGGGUUUGCCUCCAGGAC
rnacentral:lncRNA from 1 species